rnacentral:rRNA from 1 species
UCCCGACCGGAGACGGGAGGAAUGCUUUUAUUAGAUCAAAACCAAUCGGCGGCGUGCGCGUUCGCGCGCCCGUUCGCCGCUCAACCUGGUGACUCUGAAUAACUUUCGGCUGAUCGCACGGUCCAGCACCGGCGACGCAUCUUUCAAAUGUCUGCCUUAUCAACUGUCGAUGGUAGGUUCUGCGCCUACCAUGGU